rnacentral:rRNA from 1 species
GCAAGUCGAACACUCUCUUCGGAGAGAGUGGCAGACGGGUGAGUAACGCGUGGGAAUCUACCCAGUACUAAGGAACAACAGUUAGAAAUGACUGCUAAUACCUUAUACGCCCUCAGGGGGAAAGAUUUAUCGGUAUUGGAUGAGCCCGCGUUUGAUUAGCUAGUUGGUGAGGUAAUGGCUCACUAAGGCGACGAUCAAUAGCUGGUCUGAGAGGAUGAUC